AUUAUUUUGACAGACAAAUGUAUCAAAAUUAGAAUUUGAUUAUGUGAAAAAUCACAAAUAAUA
rnacentral:tRNA from 1 species